GAGCCACAUGAUUUUAAUAAAGAUCCUUUACUCAUUGAAGCAUACAGCUGUCUAUCAGAAGAUUAUUAGCAAACGUCUAGACCUGAAAUAUUCUAUGCAGACUUUGUCAGAAUUUAAUUUCAACAGAUCUGGUCCAUCUAAUAAAGCAUCAGCAUGGGAAGUUGAUCAUCACAGUUUUUACUAAGGAUAGGAUGACAAAAUUGAAACAAUAAGUAUGCAGACAGACCUAUCAGACAAGGGGCUGGGUGCUGUUCUGUCCCAAGUGCUAGAGAGAGAUGAAGUACAGCACAAUAGAGAAGGAAUGUGUCAUCAAGUGGGCGGUCCUCACUCUCCGCUACUAUUUGUACUAUAUUGAUGAGCAUUCACCCUCUGUUCGAACCAAGCCCCACCCCAAAGGCUCCACCGCAAGAAGGACGCCAACGCCCAGAUCACCCGUUGGUAUCUGACACUCCAGCCAUUUAAGUUUGAGGUGGUCCACAGACCGGGGGCACAGAUGGCUGUCGCGGACUUCCUCUUCAGAAAAGGUGGGGAGGAGUGGGCUGUCCGGAUGGUUCCCCCAGUCGGUGGGGGUAUGUGGAGUGAGAGUUGGGGGAGGUAAUAGACGGCCCAGUACAGAGAGAGAGAAGAAGAAGCUGAGUCUGUGUGAAUGUGACUGCUGAAAAGAAAAUCUUUAAAGUGACUUAAGAAAAGCAUAUCUGUGUUUAUUUUAUUAUGCUGAAAAGCAAAGUUUGU